rnacentral:lncRNA from 1 species
GUAGCCUUCAGCAUCUCACAGAAAUGGUGGACCUGAACUGAGUAGGAUUUUCCAUGUGCUCUCAACUGUGGUAAAUUUAUAUGAAUGUAUAAUAUAACAUUCUGAUAAGUCAAACUGGGACCUAAGAAGGGUAUUUGUGAAUUAUUGGUCAUCAUUCAUAUGUGUUAUAUUGACAGAUGACCCUCUGAAGUGGAGUGAGCUAAGUUCACUAGACUAGAAAGAAUUUUGUAUUCAAAUAUCACCCUGUGACCACUCAAUUAUUUGACAGGGGUCAAGUUUUGUGAAGUUUGAAUUUGAACUUUUUGCUUCUGCAAGAGUUAAGGAAACAUCCAGAGAGCAAUUGUGAAGACCCAUGCCUAGACUUGGUAGAUUGUAGGGCAAAGU